rnacentral:lncRNA from 1 species
CUCAGAAACAUACUCUUUCUCCAGAGUUUUCCCGAUCUUUUUCUCCCACAAGGCAACGAGUUCAUUGAAUGAAUAUAUGUUCUUAGGAGGCUUGAUGUAAACGAUCUUGUUCAAUGUUCUCGGGUCAUCCACAGUCUUGAUGGUGUAGGUGCCAAUAUCUUCUUCAUAAUUGAAGACAGCUGCAAACAAAUAAGGCAGAGAGAGGGGGGGGGGGAACAAGAAGAUUAUAAAGAUGAGAUACGCACAAUUUCUUGAAGUAAUGUCAUUAAACAAGUGUGAAGUAAGUUACUGAAGUUUAUCCCUACCGCCACAUUGUUUGAUACAGCCUCAUAGCAUGCUAAAGGAAGGACAUAGGAUAUAAAGGCAAAUCAUCCUAGUUUAUGCUUACAAUAGAGAUACAACAGUUCAGUUAAUUCAGCACAAAACCUCAUUCAGAAAUCACAAGUGCAAAAUGUUCUACAAAACUACUAUACAUUCUCUAUUAAACACUUCUUAGGCCAAGUGUUUUUGAGUUUUCCCAGCAAAGUUUGUCGAACAGAAUAGGAAUACGGAUUGCUAAACGAGUUUUUGAAUUUGAUGUUAAGUACCUUUGGGGUUUCCAUCUCCUAGGAUGAUUACUUUGUCUCUUGGAGGAGCGGUGACUCCCGGCUGUACCAAUGUCGGAAGAGAGUAUCCAGCAAAGUAGUUGGACGAUACAUAGGUGUAAGGAAUCCCUUCUGCCUCAGUUGUUCUGCGGAUUUGGGCCUUGACUGCAAAUGUAGACUUUGCUGGCUCUACAGCUCGAGUACGAUCUACAUCAUUGCCAAACUCCGAGGGGAAGAACCUCUGGGAAAUUCGAAGAAAUACAACAUAUAGAUUAAUUAACUAUCAGAUAGAAGACUUUGUCUACCACGACCGAAAUAUAUAGACAUGAUAAUGACAAAUAAUUGAAAACAAUUGAAUCCACUGUCACCAGGGAAAUCAGAUAUUGGACAGUAUUUCUUUGAUGAAAUUGAAAUUUGAAUAUCCCAUAUUGGAUAUCAGGAAUUUCCCAUCUCAAAUUUCGAUCCCUGGACAAGAAUAUCAUGGAUCCACCAAGAAAGUAAAAUUUGGUCUUCAAAUAACAGAUAUGAGCCUAUUUUACUAAAGAUAAUUCCUAAAGCAACUAAUUCAACUCUCAAGUGUCAAAACACAGCAAAAAUCACGCAAUUCAACAACAAGAAACCAGGUCUAGUUCCAGAGUGGCUACAGGAAUACUUUUU